AAGGAGCUCGGUUUAUAGCACAAGCGAAACUCCACUUUGUAUUGAACGAUGGGGUCUCAAAUGGGCUAUCUCCUUGCUACUCUUUUCGUAAUAUCAGUCUCUCUUAGCUACUUGCCAUUAGAAGCCUCCGCAACCAAUUACUAUUACACAUCUCCUCCCCCACCAAAGAAAUAUCCACCACCACCACCUCCCCCUCCCCAGUACAAAU
rnacentral:lncRNA from 1 species